UACGAAGGGAGCUAGCGUUGUUCGGAAUCACUGGGCGUAAAGCGCACGUAGGCGGACUUGUCAGUCAGGGGUGAAAUCCCGGGGCUCAACCUCGGAACUGCCUCUGAUACAGCAAGUCUUGAGUCCGGAAGAGGUGGGUGGAAUUCCUAGUGUAGAGGUGAAAUUCGUAGAUAUUAGGAAGAACACCGGUGGCGAAGGCGGCCCACUGGUCCGGUACUGACGCUGAGGUGCGAAAGCGUGGGGAGCGAACCGG
rnacentral:rRNA from 1 species